rnacentral:rRNA from 1 species
UACAGAGGGCCCAAGCGUUGUUCGGAUUCACUGGGCGUAAAGGGUGCGUAGGCGGUCGGGUAAGUCUGAUGUGAAAUCUCACAGCUUAACUGUGAAACUGCAUUGGAUACUAUUCAGCUUGAGAGUUGGAGGGGGGACUGGAAUUCUUGGUGUAGCAGUGAAAUGCGUAGAUAUCAAGAGGAACACCAGUGGCGAAGGCGAGUCCCUGGACAACUUCUGACGCUGAGGCACGAAAGCUAGGGGAGCAAACAGG